GGAAAGAUGAAAAGAACUUUGAAAAGAGAGUUAAACAGUACGGGAAAUUGUUGAAAGGGAAACGAUUGAAGUCAGUCAUACCAACGGGAAAUCAACCUUUUGAGUUUGUUCUUGUGGGUUUCGAGGAGUUUAAAAGCCUUCUGAUUUGUGAGGAUUGGGCUCUUUUGGUGUACUUUCUCGUACGGUUAGUCAACAUCGGUUUUGAAUGUCAUAAAAUGACUGGAGGAAUGUGGCUUCGAUCUCGUAUCGAAGUGUUAUAACCUUUGGUAGAUGUGAUGUUCGAGACCGAGGAUUGCAACGGAUACCCUUUAAGGGCUAUUCGUCUGAUCUCUGAUACGUUACCUUGACGUUGAAAGCUUGCUUAUGAUGUUAGGGUAUUACGGUCAAAAGGUUAGAACGGAUUAAAUUCGUUAAGGAUGUUGACGUAAUGACUUUAAACGACCCGUCUUGAAACACGGACCA
rnacentral:rRNA from 2 species